rnacentral:misc_RNA from 1 species
AAGACUAUAGACCUGCGGAGUACCUGCGGAAGGAUCAUUCACAAUAAGUGUUUUAUGGCACUUUAAUUCCAUAUCCACCUUGUGUGCAACGUAGUUCGUUUUUCGAACAAAACAUCAACAUUUUAAUUAUCAACAGAUCGUCUGAAGUAUUAUAUGAAUAAAUCAAUUCAAAAUACAACUUUUAGCAACGGAUCUCU